CCAGCCUGUUAGCACAGCACACGUCCCAGGACCCAGAUUUGUGAACCAGAUCAGCUGUUCUGCUGCAACACCCGUGCUGAGCUGCAUUUUCAGCACCCAAGUGUCCUGUUGGCACAGGAGGUGCCCAAUGGCCAUCUCUGCUGUGUCACGACUGCAGCCUUUCUGUUCCCCCCUCAUCUUCAUGUCUGGAGAGAGACUUGCCUUUCCUGGAGCUCCAGCUGGUGAGGAGUGAAACCCUAUCCAUGCUUGAGGCUGAGCUGGAUUUAAAUAUUGUGCAGGAAAAAUAUGAAGAAGGUCCACCCCAAAGUGGAGCUGAAUAGCUGAGGCUUGAAAGAUGAGCGUGCAUUUGCCUGACAGCUUUCAGAGCGAGCCAGCCCUGCCAGCCAAAGCAGAUUCUCUGUGCCUGCUUCCAAGCAGCACGAGCUGAAACAACUGGUGGCAGAGUGGGGUGUCUCUACAGUCCUAGCCACGAAGAGAGGAGAUGAAACAUCCUCCUGCUUGCAGCUCAGGGAAGAGGCUGGAGCUGGGCUGCUUUCUCCACAACUGUAGAACUACAGUGAAAUGGGGAUUCUUUGUUUGUGUUUCAUUGGCUUCUCUGAGGAAAACAGCGACCAUGAGAUGAGACAGAGCCUCGGGCAGGCUGUAACAGCAGGAUCUUGGAGUGCAGAGCAGGAGAGGACACAGCAAUGUUCUUCAUGGGACACAAGCACCCACCUCCCAUGGCUGUAGUCAUGUGGUUCCUUGUGCCAUGGAAUCCAGGAUCCAGGAGAACGAAGACAGAAGAGCAGAAGAGCUCUUGCUUGCAUUUCACACAUGCUAUCACCAAGAAUAUUUACUACUAAUCACUAAACUAGU